AAUGGUCCUGGAUUUCUGCAUUGAUGUCUGUCUCCUAGUAUUAGUGUCACCUAGUUAGGAAACAUGGAGACCACUCCAGUUCUAACGAGCCGAAUGUUUAUGUAAGAUGCCGCUUUCCCCAGUUCCACUGGCCCAGCUUUAAGGAGGAGGCGGAUUUUCAAGAUCCAUCCCAGGAGCAGCUUAUACCACAAAAACCUAUACACAGGUACAGGAAGUGCUGUUGGAUGGUUGGUUCAGAUCCAAGCUUAUUGUGGUUGUGAAGGAGAGUCAAACAUUUUCCUACAUUCUUCACACGGAGGGAUGGCCGCUGCUGCGUGGCUUUUCACACCUGAAGACCCUUGGUUUUGCUCCAGAAAUGUGACCAAGUAUGGCUUAGCG